rnacentral:rRNA from 1 species
CCUACGGGAGGCAGCAGUGGGGAAUAUUGGACAAUGGGCGAAAGCCUGAUCCAGCCAUGCCGCGUGUGUGAAGAAGGCCUUCGGGUUGUAAAGCACUUUCAGUGGGGAAGAAAGCCUUGGGGCUAAUACCCUCGAGGAAGGACAUCACCCACAGAAGAAGCACCGGCUAACUCCGUGCCAGCAGCCGCGGUAAUACGGGGGGUGCGAGCGUUAAUCGGAAUUACUGGGCGUAAAGCGCGCGUAGGCGGUCUGAUAAGCCGGUUGUGAAAGCCCCGGGCUCAACCUGGGAACGGCAUCCGGAACUGUCAGGCUAGAGUGCAGGAGAGGAAGGUAGAAUUCCCGGUGUAGCGGUGAAAUGCGUAGAGAUCGGGAGGAAUACCAGUGGCGAAGGCGGCCUUCUGGACUGACACUGACGCUGAGGUGCGAAAGCGUGGGUAGCAAACAGGAUUAGAUACCCGUGUAGUC